GGUCCCUUAGCUCAGUUGGUUAGAGCGUGGUGCUAAUAUCGGGGAUGAUUCAUCAUCUAAUGAUGAAAUAUUCGAUACAAGUAACGCCAAGGUCGCAGGUUCGACCCCUGCAGGGACCA